rnacentral:rRNA from 1 species
AGCUGGUUGGUGAGGUAACGGCUCACCAAGCCGACGAUCAGUAGCCGACCUGAGAGGGUGACCGGCCACAUUGGGACUGAGACACGGCCCAAACUCCUACGGGAGGCAGCAGUGGGGAAUAUUGCACAAUGGGGGAAACCCUGAUGCAGCGACGCCGCGUGAGUGAUGAAGUAUUUCGGUAUGUAAAGCUCUAUCAGCAGGGAAGAAAAUGACGGUACCUGACUAAGAAGCCCCGGCUAACUACGUGCCAGCAGCCGCGGUAAUACGUAGGGGGCAAGCGUUAUCCGGAUUUACUGGGUGUAGAGGGAGCGUAGACGGAACAGCAAGUCUGAUGUGAAAACCCGGGGCUCAACCCCGGGACUGCAUUGGAAACUGUUGAUCUAGAGUGUCGGAGAGGUAAGUGGAAUUCCUAGUGUAGCGGUGAAAUGCGUAGAUAUUAGGAGGAACACCAGUGGCGAAGGCGGCUUACUGGACGAUGACUGACGUUGAGGCUCGAAAGCGUGGGGAGCAAACAGGAUUAGAUACCCUGGUAGUCCACGCCGUAAACGAUGACUACUAGGUGUCGGGUGGCAAAGCCAUUCGGUGCCGCAGCAAACGCAAUAAGUAGUCCACCUGGGGAGUACGUUCGCAAGAAUGAAACUCAAAGGAAUUGACGGGGGCCCGCACAAGCGGAGGAACAUGUGGUUUAAUUCGAUGAUACGCGAGGAACCUUACCCGGGCUUGAAUUGCAGAGGAAGGAUUUGGAGACAAUGACGCCCUUCGGGGCCUCUGUGAAGGUGCUGCAUGGUUGUCGUCAGCUCGUGCCGUGAGGUGUCGGCUUAAGUGCCAUAACGAGCGCAACCCCUCUCCUUAGUUGCCAUCAGGUUAAGCUGGGCACUCUGGGGACACUGCCACCGUAAGGUGUGAGGAAGGUGGGGAUGACGUCAAAUCAGCACGGCCCUUACGUCCGGGGCUACACACGUGUUACAAUGGCAGGUACAGAGAGACGGUCCCUUGCAAAACGGAUCAAAUCCUUAAAGCCUGUCUCAGUUCGGACUGGGGUCUGCAACCCGACCCCACGAAGCUGGAUUCGCUAGUAAUCGCGCAUCAGCCAUGGCGCGGUGAAUACGUUCCCGGGCCUUGUACACACCGCCCGUCAAGCCAUGAAAGCCGGGGGCGCCUAAAGUCCGUGACCGUAAGGAGCGGCCUAGGGCGAAACUGGUAAUUGGGGCUAAGUCGUAACAAGGUAACCGUACUAGUAC